UACGGAGGGUGCAAGCGUUAUCCGGAAUCAUUGGGUUUAAAGGGUCCGUAGGCGGACUAAUAAGUCAGAGGUGAAAUCCCGCAGCUCAACUGUGGAACUGCCUUUGAAACUGUUAGUCUUGAGUUAUUGUGAAGUGGUUAGAAUAUGUAGUGUAGCGGUGAAAUGCUUAGAGAUUACAUGGAAUACCGAUUGCGAAGGCAGAUCACUAACAAUAUACUGACGCUGAUGGACGAAAGCGUGGGGAGCGAACAGG
rnacentral:rRNA from 1 species